rnacentral:tRNA from 1 species
CUUGAAACCAAUCCUAGGGGGUUCGAUUCCUUCCUUUC